rnacentral:rRNA from 1 species
CCUACGGGGGGCAGCAGUGGGGAAUAUUGCACAAUGGGGGAAACCCUGAUGCAGCGACGCCGCGUGAGCGAUGAAGUAUCUCGGUAUGUAAAGCUCUAUCAGCAGGGAAGAAAGUGACAGUACCUGACUAAGAAGCCCCGGCUAACUACGUGCCAGCAGCCGCGGUAAUACGUAGGGGGCAAGCGUUAUCCGGAUUCACUGGGUGUAAAGGGAGCGUAGACGGCAGGGCAAGUCUGGAGUGAAAGCCCGGGGCCCAACCCCGGGACUGCUUUGGAAACUGCCAUGCUGGAGUGCUGGAGAGGUAA